UAGAAAUUCGGAAUUCAUAAAAUAAUUUUUUUUUAAAAAGAUUUCUUUUUCCCCCAAGAAAGAAGAAAAGGACUAACAUGAUGGAGCGAAGAUUAAGCGACCGGAGAAACGUGAAAUUGGAGGACUGAGGAAACCCAGAUCUGUAAAUGCAGUUAUCUUCAACAGCAGAAAAAUUUGUGGGCGGCACCAACAAGUCACCACCCUCUAUUUCCAAAAUCUGACACAUCUUUUUCUUUUUUCUUUAUCAAAAUCUCAAUUAACAGCCAAUGCUAAAGAACUACUACCGCCGCCAUCAUCAUCAUCAUCAUCUUAUAAUCAGUAUCAAAAGCAAGAUAAAUGGUUGUAGAAUUUUGUUUCAAUUUAUUUCCAUGAGGGCGGCGUGGAAAUUGCAAAGAGGGAUGAUGUAGGGUAUAGUAUGCUAGGGUCUAUUGGAUUAUGAUUUGUAGAAAAGAGCAAAUCAAGAAAAAGGUCACCACCCUUUAUUUCCAAAAUCUGACACAUCUUGUUCUUUUUUCUUUAUUAAAAUCUCAAUUAACAACCAAUGCUAAAGAACUAUUACCGCCGCCAUCAUCGUCAUCAUCUUAUAAUCAGUAGCAAAGGCAAGAUAAAUGGUUGUCGAAUUGUUUCAAUUUAUAUCCAUGAGGGCGGCGUGGAAAUUGCCAAGAAAAAGGCAUGAUUACGAAAAGAGCAAAUCGGACUUUGUUUUAUGUUAGGACUUGGGAUCGUCGAGGAAUUUGCCUAUGUUUAGGACUAGCAAAAAUUUGACUGCUUUCGAAAU
rnacentral:lncRNA from 1 species